rnacentral:rRNA from 1 species
UGGUGGAGUGAUUUGUCUGGUUAAUUCCGUUAACGAACGAGACCUCGACCUGCUAAAUAGUUGGGCUAAUUCUCAUUGGUACCAUACUUCUUAGAGGGACUAUCGGUGGUUCAGCCGAUGGAAGUUCGAGGCAAUAACA